GGAACCGUGAGACAGGUGCUGCAUGGCUGUCGUCAGCUCGUGUUGUGAAAUGUUGGGUUAAGUCCCGCAACGAGCGCAACCCUUAUCCUUGUUGCCAGCGGUCCGGCCGGGAAACUCAAAGGAGACUGCCAGUGAUAAACUGGAGGAAGGUGGGGAUGACGUCAAAUCAGCACGGCCCUUAUGUCCAGGGCUACACACGUGUUACAAUGGUCGGUACAGAGGGCAGCUACCUGGUGACAGGAUGCUAAUCUCGAAAACCGGCCUCAGUUCGGAUCGAAGUCUGCAACUCGACUUCGUGAAGCUGGAUUCGCUAGUAAUCGCGCAUCAGCCAUGGCGCGGUGAAUACGUUCCCGGGCCUU
rnacentral:rRNA from 1 species